GAGUUUGCUCAUGGCUCAGGAUGAACGCUAGCGGCAGGCUUAACACAUGCAAGUCGAGGGGUAACAUUGGUGCUUGCAUCAGAUGACGACCGGCGCACGGGUGCGUAACGCGUAUACAAUUUACCUUAUACAGAGGGAUAGCCUUUAGAAAUGAAGAUUAAUACCUCAUGGUAUUGAGGUGUGGCAUCACACUUUAAUUAAAGAUUUAUCGGUAUAAGAUGAGUAUGCGUCCUAUUAGCUAGAUGGUAGAGUAAAGGUUUACCAUGGCAACGAUAGGUAGGGGUCCUGAGAGGGAGAUCCCCCACACUGGUACUGAGACACGGACCAGACUCCUACGGGAGGCAGCAGUGAGGAAUAUUGGACAAUGGAGGCAACUCUGAUCCAGCCAUGCCGCGUGCAGGAAGACUGCCCUAUGGGUUGUAAACUGCUUUUAUAGAGGAAGAAACCCUCCCACGAGUGGGGAGGCUGACGGUACUCUACGAAUAAGCACCGGCUAACUCCGUGCCAGCAGCCGCGGUAAUACGGAGGGUGCAAGCGUUAUCCGGAAUCAUUGGGUUUAAAGGGUCCGUAGGCGGGCAAAUAAGUCAGAGGUGAAAUCCCACAGCUUAACUGUGGAACUGCCUUUGAUACUGUUUGUCUUGAGUUAUAGUGAAGUAGAUAGAAUAUGUAGUGUAGCGGUGAAAUGCAUAGAUAUUACAUAGAAUAC
rnacentral:rRNA from 1 species